UACGUAGGGUCCAAGCGUUAAUCGGAAUUACUGGGCGUAAAGCGUGCGCAGGCGGUUCGUUAAGUCAGCUGUGAAAGCCCCGGGCUCAACCUGGGAAUGGCGGUUGAAACUGGCGAACUUGAAUCUGGCAGAGGGGGGUGGAAUUCCACGUGUAGCAGUGAAAUGCGUAGAUAUGCGGAGGAACACCGAUGGCGAAGGCAAUCCCCUGGGCCUGCACUGACGCUCAUGCACGAAAGCGUGGGGAGCAAACAGG
rnacentral:rRNA from 1 species